rnacentral:rRNA from 1 species
CGAACGGGUGCGUAACACGUAUGCAAUCUACCUUUAACAGAGGGAUAGCCCAAAGAAAUUUGGAUUAAUACCUCAUAACAUCAUGAAUUCGCAUGUUUUUAUGAUUAAAACUCCGGUGGUUAAAGAUGAGCAUGCGGGACAUUAGCUUGUUGGUGAGGUAACGGCUCACCAAGGCAACGAUGUCUAGGGGUUCUUAAAGGAUGAUCCCCCACACUGGUACUGAGACACGGACCAG